UAGGGAAUCUUCCGCAAUGGACGCAAGUCUGACGGAGCAACGCUGCGUGAGUGAAGAAGGAUUUCGGUUCGUAAAACUCUGUUGUUAGAGAAGAACAGCGCAUAGAGUAACUGUUAUGCGUGUGACGGUAUCUAACCAGAAAGCCACGGCUAACUACGUGCCAGCAGCCGCGGUAAUACGUAGGUCCCGAGCGUUGUCCGGAUUUAUUGGGCGUAAAGCGAGCGCAGGCGGUUAGAUAAGUCUGAAGUUAAAGGCAGUGGCUCAACCGUUGUAGGCUUUGGAAACUGUUUAACUUUAGUGCUGAAGGGACGACUUGAUUUCCAUGUGUGGCGGUGAACUGCGUAGAUAUAUGGAGAAACCCCGGUGGCGAAAGCGGCUCUCUGGUCUGUUACUGACGCUGAGGCUCGAAAGCGUGGGGAGCGAACAGG
rnacentral:rRNA from 1 species